rnacentral:rRNA from 1 species
UGGUGAGGUAACGGCUCACCAAGGCAAUGAUCGGUAGCUGGUCUGAGAGGAUGAUCAGCCACACUGGAACUGAGACACGGUCCAGACUCCUACGGGAGGCAGCAGUGGGGAAUCUUGCACAAUGGGCGAAAGCCUGAUGCAGCGACGCCGCGUGGGGGAUGAAGCAUUUCGGUGUGUAAACCCCUUUCGACUGGGAAGAAAACCCGCAAGGGAUUGACGGUACCAGUAUAAGAAGCCCCGGCUAACUACGUGCCAGCAGCCGCGGUAAGACGUAGGGGGCCAGCGUUGUUCGGAAUUACUGGGUGUAAAGGGUUCGUGGGCGGUGCGGCAAGUUGGGAGUGAAAUCUCUGGGCUCAACCCAGAGGCUGCUUCCAAAACUGCUGUGCUUGAGUGUGAGAGAGGCUCGUGGAAUUGCAGGUGUAGCGGUGAAAUGCGUAGAUAUCUGCAGGAACACCCGUGGCGAAAGCGGCGAGCUGGAUCACUACUGACGCUGAGGAACGAAAGCUAGGGGAGCAAACAGGAUUAGAUACCCUGGUAGUCCUAGCCCUAAACGAUCAGGACUUGGGGUGCCGCCCGUUCGGGCGUCGUCCCGGAGCUAACGCGUUAAGUCCUGCACCUGGGGAGUACGGUCGCAAGACUGAAACUCAAAGGAAUUGACGG